UACGGAGGGGGCUAGCGUUAUUCGGAAUCACUGGGCGUAAAGCGCGUGUAGGCGGCCUGUAAAGUCAGAGGUGAAAUCCCGGAGCUUAACUUCGGAAUUGCCUUUGAAACUCACGGGCUAGAAUUCGGUAGAGGAUAGUGGAAUCCCUAGUGUAGAGGUGAAAUUCGUAGAUAUUAGGAGGAACACCAGUGGCGAAGGCGACUGUCUGGGCCGAUAUUGACGCUAAGACGCGAAAGCGUGGGGAGCAAACAGG
rnacentral:rRNA from 1 species